ensembl:lncRNA
GAAACAUUUCCACAAUAAAUAAUGUAAUUCAGAGCAAGACUAUACCAUAUGAUAGAGAUGCCGUCUAGAUCCUACUUCCAGGUUCAUAUCCUUGGUCUUUUGAAUGGGUUUCAACAUUGUCUUCAUAAUUAUAAUUAAUGAAAAUGCUGUAAUUUAUGGUAUAAAUAAAUAUAUGUAUUUACUCAUACCCAAUGGUUUUUAUAAAAAUAUUUUGACGCUCAAGUGAAAUUUUAACAACUCAUGAAGCCUAGUUUAGCUUCAUCAAUCAUGCCUGUCCAGAUAAAGGUUCACAGGACAGUAAAGGCCUGUCUGUUUCCGUUAGUUUCCUAUAUUUUAUAUAAUGCCCCAGCUUUUUAUUGAACAGUAUCAGCCAGUAUUCAAAUGUACAUUCCCUUUUGAAAAUUGGUUACUUUUCCAUAUAAACAGAUAUUUCCCUCAUUUCGAGACCAAUGUAUUUUUCGGUCUUCACGUCAGGAAAUUAAAGGUUAACACACACUCUUAUACAGAUCUCUAAUCCACAUUUUCUGGAUAGCUACACUGACUAUAGGGAAGUGGCUAUUGGACUGGGCUUUCUGUAGGACAAAACUGAUAUUUUAACCUAAUUAUCAAGAAGAAUAACAUAGAAUCACUUGACAUGUCUGACAUCACAUCUAGAUUUUAUUCGAGGUAAGCAUUGCUUUUUGAUGACAUUCUAAAUCAAUCAAAAAGGCCUGAACAACAUUUUGGACAGCCUCUCCCAGAGAGACAGCAUUACCAGCUGGAAAUAAUGCCUUGCAACAACAACCACACUACGCAAUGUACACCCAACAACCUCUGCUAGUCAAAUACUCUCAAUAUCCAUAACAGUCACAUAAAAGGAUGUCACUAGGGUUUUAAAGAGAACAGUGUAAUCUAGCAUGGCCAAUAGAAAGACAGCUGUCACAAUCAGCAAUAAUAAAGGCCUCCAUUCACUUGGCCAUAAUAAUCCAGUAGUUUAUUGUUAGCCACAAUUUUUUACCCAAUUUCAUCAUGUUCAAUAUAUAUUCAAUUUCAUUAUAUUAAACAGCCUUGUCUCUUCUCCCAAAGGAUUCGGUAGACCUGAAGAUUGCAGCAUAUUUCCCUCCUAAACUCGGCACCAAGCCAAUCAGAUUAUUUCCUCAUUCAACCCGGACAUCACGAAUAUUAACACAUCUGAGGGCUUGCUCACCUGAUGACCUCAGUUUGCUUUGCAGUUACCCAAGCCGUCUUAGGGAGUCGCUAGUGCAAACUGUGAUCAGGAAGUCCCUGCUGAUGAUGCCUCCCCCUCUCAAGGAAAUGCUGGCCAAUCAAGGCUUGAACCAAAGGAGGCACAAAACACAUUUCCAAUCUGAACUGUCCUACUAUUUCCAAUUACAAACAUCUCAAAAAGGGCUCUGCUAAUAAAUUGACCGUCAUUUCCACUCAAACUACAGGCUAAAGUAAAGAUUAUUGGGGACUAUGAGGUUGUGUGACUCACUACUAACCAGGUUCAGAACAAUAAAUGGUUAAAAAGAUGUUGCUAACUUGUUGAUGCUAACACCAAAGAAAUAUCCUGAUUGGAUUUUUCAAUCUUUCUCAGUAUUAAUCUGUUUUCAACAUUAAUAAAUUAAAUUAGAGGAAACACAUAAUUACAAAACAUAUUGCAUUCAAUUAAAAUAUAUAUAUUCUUGGGCACAGUAGGCCUUCACAGUUCCCCAGUUCUAUAUAGAUUAUGUGUGAAUCAAUGACCACCACAACCCGCAAUUCCCUCUGAAUACAAAUACAAAACUAUGUCUGUAGUACAGCACUUAUUUAUUAAUGCAAGGGUUGAUUCACUUGACUACUCUGAAAACGUAUCCUGAAUUUCAUUUUGCUGAUCUAUUCCAUACAUUAAGUCUGAAACUGCCAUACAUCCCUCCGUUUUUAUUCUAUUUCUGUUCAGCAUGUCUGUAUAUUGCCAUAGCAUAAUUUAUUCUACUGUAUGAAGUAUUAAAGUAGCGGGAAGCUUGUAUUGGCAUUUAUUCCCCUCAGCCUGUUGGUGUGUUGGUUGUAACACUGACGUAACUGUUCUCGAUUAAAGCUUUGAAACCCAACCAAGGCCA